AAACACAUUCCCUAAAAAGAAAAAAGAAAAUAAAAAGAGAGCUGUUCACGAGGGUUCUCUGAGAAAUUUCCUGGUUUUGUCUCUCCUUUGAUCUGGAAAGAAAUUGACCCAUCACAUAGUUUCCAAAGCUGUUCAAAUCGUCGGCGAAAUUGUUGAAGAACUGAAAGCCUAGGAUGGCAUCCACAUUCAGCGGCGAUGAAACUGCUCCUUUUUUUGGUUUCCUCGGUGCUGCUGCUGCCCUCGUUUUCUCCUGUAUGAGAGCUGCGUAUGGGACGGCCAAGAGCGGUGUAGGAGUGGCCUCGAUGGGAGUGAUGAGGCCGAAGCUGGUUAUGAAAUCAAUCGUCCCCAUUGUUAUGGCCGGUGUUUUGGGUAUUUAUGGGUUGAUUAUUGGGGUUAUUAUUAGCACAGGGAUUAACCCGAAGGCCAAAUCUUACUACCUUUUCGAUGGCUAUGCUCAUCUUUCCUCUGGUCUUGCUUGUGGCCUCGCUAGACUUUCUGCCGGCAUGGCUAUUGGAAUCGUGGGCGAUGCUGGUGUUAGAGGAAGUGUGAAACUAAUGCAAGAGUUAGAAGAAAUGUCAAGUUAACUCCUAAUCAAGGAUCUCGGGCUUUUGUCGCUAGCCGAUAUGCUAUGCGCAAGGAUGAUGAAGAACCAAAUAGGAUGGAUUUCUUCAAGGCAACUCAUUAUUCAAAUGACAAAGGAUGGACAACAUCUAAGGCACAAGCAAAAUAUGAGAAAAUGGUGGAGUUGCAAUCAACUUCAGUUGAAGAAGAAGCAGAAAAUAUGAGAAAAUGGUGAAGUUGCAAUCAACUCCAGUUGAAGAAGCAGAAAAUA